GCGACACGCAGCCCGCCCCGUGCUCUCGUGAGGCGUGCCAGUUAGAGUCCCCUGGAGGGACCGCCGAGAUACCGCGAUAUUUGGGAGCGACCCCGAGACGUGCUUGGCGCGGGUCCUAAAUCCCGGCAGCUGUAUGGAGCCCGGUCCUGGCAGGCUCCCAGAACUUGAAGCCACCAGACCCCACAUGGAACCAAAGGCCUCCUGUCCAGCUGCUGCACGCUUGGUGGAGAGAAAAUUCCAUGUUCUUGUGGGUGUCACGGGAAGUGUUGCAGCCCUCAAGUUGCCUCUUCUGGUGUCAAAGCUUUUGGACAUUCCUGGGCCACAUGGCAUGGGGCAGCCCCACUGGGAAGAGCCAUGGAAGCCACAGUCCACCUGCUCUUGUGAAGGGCCCCAUGCCUUUCAUCUGCAGCUGGAAGUAGCAGUGGUCACAACUGAGAGAGCCAAACAUUUCUACAACCCCCAGGACAUUCCUGUCUCCCUCUACAGUGACGCUGAUGAAUGGGAGAUGUGGAAGUGCCGCACUGACCCGGUUCUGCACAUUGACCUGCGGAGGUGGGCAGACCUCCUGCUGGUGGCUCCUCUUGACGCCAACACUCUGGGGAAGGUGGCCAGUGGCAUCUGUGACAACUUGCUCGUGAGUGACGCCCUGGUUGCACUCGUCCCUCCUGGGCCUCACUCCCAGUUUGCUGAGCUGCAGACUUCCUUACCUGCGUCAUCCGGGCCUGGGACCGCAGCAAGCCCCUGCUCUUCUGCCCAGCCAUGAACACUGCCAUGUGGGAGCACCCUGUCACAGCACAGCAGGUCGACCAGCUCAAGGCCUUCGGCUAUGUUGAGAUCCCCUGCGUGGCCAAGAAGCUGGUGUGCGGAGACAAAGGUCUGGGGGCCAUGGCUGAAGUGGGGACCAUCGUGGACAAAGUGAAAGAAGUCCUCUUCCAGCACAGUGGCUUCCAGCAGAGUUGACCUGGGACUCCUGGGUAUCCCUCUAUACUCAGAAUGGGUUCAGGCCAAGUUGGUGAAGAUAGAUGUUGGCAAAACAGGAGGAUUCCUUCAUUUGCUGAAUGGGGGUCUGGCUGAGGCCUACUCUGAGCCUCCCUAGGGAACGGACCUGCUCCAGGAGAAACUGGAUGGAAGGCCCAGGUCUCAGCUUCUUUCCACUAGGAGAUGGCCGCCGCCUGGAGCCCCUCCCGACCUUUUCCUGAAUGGGCGAGGCAGGCCAGGAGAGCAAGCAGUGUUGCCCUCACGGGAGGAGGACUGGAUGACUGGGAAAACUCGGCUCUACAUCUCACGCAGAACGGCUUUUAGAGACAGCACAGCUGGAGAGCCCUGGCCGAGCCUUGGGAGCUUCAGCUCUUUGGCAGAGUGCCCAGGUGCCAUGCAUCAGAGAAGCCUGCAGCUUGGCAGGAUGCUGAGGUCUGCUGCACACCAUGUCAUGAGAUUCAAGGUGUUGGGAAAUAAAGAAAAAUGACCAUU